rnacentral:rRNA from 1 species
AAUGAACGCUGGCGGCGUGCUUAACACAUGCAAGUCGCACGAGAAUUCUUCUGCUUGCAGAAGAUAGUAAAGUGGCGCACGGGUGAGUAAUGCGUGGGCAAUCUUCCCUUGAAUCGGGGAUAACAUGGCGAAAGCUUUGCUAAUACCGGAUAACAUCCAUUUAUCUGCGGAUGAAUGGAUCAAAGGUGGCCUCUACAUGUAAGCUACUGUUUGAGGAUGAGCCUGCGUACCAUUAGCUUGUUGGCGGGGUAACGGCCCACCAAGGCGACGAUGGUUAGCUGGUCUGAGAGGAUGAUCAGCCACACUGGAACUGACACACGGUCCAGACUCCUACGGGAGGCAGCAGUGAGGAAUUUUGCGCAAUGGGGGAAACCCUGACGCAGCAACGCCGCGUGAGUGAUGAAGGCCUUCGGGUCGUAAAGCUCUGUCAAGUGGGAAGAACCUGCAUUGAGUUAACAGCUCAGUGCACUGACGGUACCACUGAAGGAAGCACCGGCUAACUCCGUGCCAGCAGCCGCGGUAAUACGGAGGGUGCGAGCGUUAUUCGGAAUUAUUGGGCGUAAAGGGCGCGUAGGCGGCCGUUUAAGUCAGGUGUGAAAGCCCGGGGCUUAACCCCGGAAGUGCAUUUGAUACUGAGCGGCUUGAGUAUGGGAGAGGGAAGUGGAAUUCCUGGUGUAGAGGUGAAAUUCGUAGAUAUCAGGAGGAACACCGGUGGCGAAGGCGACUUCCUGGACCAAUACUGACGCUGAGGCGCGAAGGCGUGGGGAUCAAACA